rnacentral:misc_RNA from 1 species
GAUAAGAACGUAGCGAAAUGCGAUAAGUAAUGUGAAUUGCAGAAUUCAGUGAAUCAUCGAAUCUUUGAACGCACAUUGCGCCCGCCAGUAUUCUGGCGGGCAUGCCUGUCUGAGCGUCAUUUCAACCCUCAUGCCCCUAGGGCGUGGUGUUGGGGAUCGGCCAAAGCCCGCGAGGGACGGCCGGCCCCUAAAUCUAGUGGCGGACCCGUCGUGGCCUCCUCUGCGAAGUAGUGAUAUUCCGCAUCGGAGAGCGAUGAGCCCCUGCCGUUAAACCCCCAACUUUCCAAGGUUGACCUCAGAUCAGGUAGGAAUACCCGCUGAACUUAAGCAUAUCAAUAAGCGGAGGA